rnacentral:rRNA from 1 species
CUACGGGUGGCAGCAGUUGAGGAAAUUUUACAAUGCUCGAAAGAGUGAUCGAGUGAGCCAGAGUGUUUCUCUUAGAGAAACUUUUAUCUGUUGUAAAAAGACAGAUGAAUAAGGACUGGGCAAGACCGGUGCCAGCCGCCGCGGUAAUACCGGCGGUCCAAGUUGCAUCCACAUUUAUUGGGUCUAAAACAUCCGUAGCUUGUUUUGUAAGUCUCUUGUGAAAUCUCAUGUCUCAAGCAUGAGGCGUGCAAGAGAUACUACAUUGCUAGAGACCGGAAGACGCAAAGAGUACGGUUAAGGUAGCGGUAAAAUGUGUUAAUCUUAAUUGGACUAACAAUGGCGAAGGCACUUUGCGAGUACGGAUCUGACAGUGAGGGAUGAAGGCUAGGGGCGCAAAAGGGAUUAGAUACCCUAGUAGUC